rnacentral:rRNA from 1 species
UACGUAGGGUGCGAGCGUUAAUCGGAAUUACUGGGCGUAAAGGGCGCGUAGGCGGCGCGGGAAGUCCGUGGUGAAAGCCCGAGGCUCAACUUCGGGUCGGCCAUGGAUACUCCUGGGCUUGAGCACUGUAGAGGCAGGUGGAAUUCCGGGUGUAGCGGUGGAAUGCGUAGAGAUCCGGAAGAACACCGGUGGCGAAGGCGGCCUGCUGGGCAGUAGCUGACGCUGAGGCGCGACAGCGUGGGGAGCAAACAGGAUUAGA